rnacentral:rRNA from 1 species
UACGUAGGGUGCGAGCGUUGUCCGGAAUUAUUGGGCGUAAAGGGCUCGUAGGCGGCUUGUCACGUCGGGUGUGAAAGCCCGGGGCUUAACCCCGGGUCUGCAUUCGAUACGGGCAGGCUAGAGUGUGGUAGGGGAGAUCGGAAUUCCUGGUGUAGCGGUGAAAUGCGCAGAUAUCAGGAGGAACACCGGUGGCGAAGGCGGAUCUCUGGGCCAUUACUGACGCUGAGGAGCGAAAGCAUGGGGAGCGAACAGG